AUUGAACGCUGGCGGCAGGCCUAACACAUGCAAGUCGAACGCGUGGCGGACGGGUGAGUAAUGUCUGGGAAACUGCCUGAUGGAGGGGGAUAACUACUGGAAACGGUAGCUAAUACCGCAUACCAUCGGAUGUGCCCAGAUGGGAUUAGCUAGUGGGUGGGGUAACGGCUCACAAAGGCGACGAUCCCUAGCUGGUCUGAGAGGAUGACCAGCCACACUGGAACUGAGACACGGUCCAGACUCCUACGGGAGGCAGCAGUGGGGAAUGUUGGACAAGUGGCGCAAGCCUGAUGCAGCCAGGCCGCGUGUAUGAAGAAGGCCUUCGGGUUGUAAAGUACUUUCAGCGGGGAGGCGUUACCCGCAGAAGAAGCACCGGCUAACUCCGUGCCAGCAGCCGCGGUAAUUC
rnacentral:rRNA from 1 species